GCCUCAUGACCUAGCAGAUCCAAAAGUAUUCAACAUGUUUGUGGCAGAUGCAAAUGCUGUUUAGAACCUUCGAGAGGUCGCUGUAGAAGCACAAUGCAAAACUUCAGGAUUUUGGAGCAAAACUUUGUCAUCUUUUGCACACACAGUGUUCUCUUUUGAUAGCUCCUGGUGUGCUACUGGACCUUAGUAGAGAUAGAAUGUCUGACUCUGAGCCACUAAGUAACCAUUCAACCUCUUCUGCCCUUCAAGAACUGGGAAAUGUCUGAAAAAACAAGUAAUGAAACGUGUGUAUAGCAGCACUCCAUUACAAGUUGUAGUUUUAUAUACGAGAUUGGUCUCAAGCAAGACCUAAAGGUAAAAGUAAGAGGCUCAGAUUUGCAUGGCUCCUCCUCUUGCUGCAUUAACUGCUGUCUCUCAACGCAAGCAUACUGUAACAUAUUGAUGGAGGAGGAAAAUGCUGAGUCUCGUUUACUGAUAAUUCUAUGUAACAUGCUGGCAUCACCUAAAGUGGAGAACUGCGAGAUUACUGCCCCAUCCAAGAAAACCCUUCAGCAGCCCCAUUCUUCAGGAACCGUGAAGGACUAUGGCAAAGAACUAUCUGAUGAUGAAACGACCCAGACUCAAUUUUCCCAACUUCAGAGCCUUUUCUAUCCAUGAUCCCUCAUUCCUGCCUUUCUUGCCAUUCCUGUCCUGUCUCUCAACCUGACAAUGAAG
rnacentral:lncRNA from 10 species